AGGGAACUGAGAGAAGCCACAGGCACCUGAGCAGGAGGCAUAGGAGGCAGAAGCUGUCCAUCCCUGGCUCUGCCUCUUAGGAUCCUGUGUUAGCUGCAGCCAUGUACCUGCCAGGGACCAGAGAGGAGGAGGAGGAUGACGGUGAUGACUAUGAGAAUAUGGCGCCACCCUACAAGGACCUUCCUCCCAAGCCAGAUUCAAUGGCUCCACCCAGGCCUCCGAGGGCAGGUGAGCUGGGGCUGGGGGUACAGGAAACCAGUGCUGGCUUUGUCCUGCUCUGGGCCUGAGCAACCAUUCUUCCCCCUCCCCCCCAGGAAAUAAAACGGAGAACCCCCCACUUCCCUGCAAGUCCCCAAAGAUCAAAGGUGAGAAUCUAGGGCUGGGGUCUUUUUGGCUUACCUGGAUGAAGCCCUGGUCUGCAUAACCAUUGUCUUUCUGACAUCUUCUAGGCCUGGACCUCACCCCUGUCCCCCGAACAUCUCAACUGGGUGAGCAGUAGGAAGACUUUUUAAGAAGCCUGAGAGGAGACACCUGGAAGUCUUCCCUCCAGUUCCCCAAUUCUGAUUAGAGAACAAAUCAGAUGGGAUGAGGGAGGUGUUGAUCUUGGAAGACAGUCUUUCAGCAGCUUUUUUCCCCCAGCAACUUUGAAUCAACCUUUUCCCCCCUUUCUCCCAGGUGUCAGUCUGGAGCAUCCUCCGUUCCAGCCAUCCCUAGCUAGUAAGUCCUCAUGUCCUCCCUGUGGAUCCCUAUCUUCCCUCUCAUGGUCGCAUGUAUGCUUG
rnacentral:lncRNA from 1 species